GUGGGGAGGGGCAAGAGGGGCUGACCUACCCUUCCUCUCCUGUUCUCUCUCCACCAGGUAUUCCAGAUGGUAAACUCUCCUGUCGUUUCUUUGGCCAGGGAAGAGGAGUUCUCCCAGGCCAGGAUCUCUUAGGGGAUCUGGAUUUGAAAGGGUUGCACCGCUGCUUGGGGACCUGGGAUACCACGAGGAACCAGCCAAACGUGAUAUCUGGCCUCCUCCCUCACUGGCUGGUGCAGGGAUUGAGCAUAUCAGCCCUUGGAUAACGGGCUUUAGAGGUUUGAAUAACUCGGCUCUUCCCCAGAGGAUGAAGAAAUUGGGAGCCACCAAGACAACAGUUACCACAACUUGGCCAUUCCACCUGGAAAUGUCCCUGGAACCGCACACUUCCCUGCAUUCCCAUUGCCCUGGUGCUGUUCAGGCUGCUGCCAUCCCAGCUGGUCUCCUGGCCUCUAGCCCCACCCCUCCAGCCCAGCCUCCAUACUUCCCUAGAAAUCUGACCAACAUCACUCUGCUGAAAAACCAUCUAUGGCUCCCUGUCACCUUCUGGGUAAGCCCUAGGCUCCCCAACCUCCAGUUCAUGGCCACUUCUUGCCAUGACCCAACCAGAUCUCACUGAUGGGGUUCUCUGUGCGUUCUUGCCUUUGUCCAUGCUGCUCCCUCUGCAUGGAGCACCCUCGCGUGCUAAAUGCUGUGAAUCAGGACUUUUCUCAGUUGUUGCCUUCUCCCAGAAGUCCCCUUGCGGCCCGCUCUGUGCUAGGUGUGCCUUUGUGCUCUCAGAAGCUCAGCUACUACCCAUGGUGCUUUGUUUUUUUGUUAUUUAAAAAUUUUUAAUUGUGUUAAAAAGCAACUACCAUAAAAUGUAUCAUCUUAAGGAUUUUAAGUGUACAGUUCAGUAGUGUUGAGUAUAUUCACAUUGUUGUGCAACAGAUCUCCAGAACUUUGUCCUCUUGCAAAACUGAAACUCUGUCUCUGGUAAACCACUUCCCUUCCCCCCUUUCCCUAUACCCUGGUGCAUGGUCUACUUAUGUUUAUUCCCCUCCUGCAUUAGACUGUGAACCCCUUGAGGGCAGGCAGCUGGGUCUUUAUAUCUCCACCACCUAGCAGAGCACCAGAUCCAUAUAUAUAUAAAUUUGUUAACUCAACAAGUAUUUAGUUUGGUGCAAAAGUAAUUGUGGUUUUUGCUAUUAAAACUAAUAGUUACUGAGCACCUCCUGUGUGCUGUGGUGCUAUCCUAGACAGUGGAGAUAACCAGGGAACAACAACAACAAAAUUCUUGUCCUCAGAGGUUUUACAUUCUAGCUGGCCAGAAGACAGAUAAUAAAAUGUAGAACAUG